CGAGGAAGACACGGGAGCCCAUGGGAACGCUGGGCUGAGAGUGCGGGCCGCCCCCCGCUGACCGUCAGACCUGAUCCGGGUAAUGCCGGCGAAGGAAGAAGGAUUGUUGUGGCA
rnacentral:ncRNA from 2 species